UACAGAGGGUGCGAGCGUUAAUCGGAAUUACUGGGCGUAAAGCGCACGUAGGUGGCGACGUAAGUCGGGUGUGAAAGCCCCGGGCUCAACCUGGGAAUUGCAUUCGAGACUGCAUUGCUGGAGUACGGAAGAGGAGGGCGGAAUUCCCGGUGUAGCGGUGAAAUGCGUAGAUAUCGGGAGGAACAUCAGUGGCGAAGGCGGCCCUCUGGACCGGUACUGACGCUGAUGCGCGAAAGCGUGGGGAGCAAACGGG
rnacentral:rRNA from 1 species